rnacentral:lncRNA from 1 species
GACAAUUUAAGUUAUGGCCCUGAUACUAGGUCAAUUUGCUUGCCCCCUUCAAGAGCCUCUCCUCCCCACCUAGGUUCUCCGGACAUCAGCUCCUGUCCCCUGCAGCCCUGCCUCAGGCAGGUGAAGGACUGGACUGUCUGUUGCCUGAUCAUGGAUCACCACCCGGGAGUCCUUUGCAAAGGGGCCCCACUCUCAAGGGCUGAGCCCUGGGGAAAUGUAGGACAGUUUCUGAGAACUGUUUGCUCUUCCCUCUUCACUCCAGCUCCCUUCUGGAAUAGGAUCUGUCUUCAAAGGACAAAGCAAGUCCCUCAGCGCAGAUGGCCUGGGCCCCUAGGUGUCCAGGAUUUCUGUUGCACUCCACUUCAGUCCCUGGACCUGGGUAGGGAGAAUGGAAUUGGGAGCUGCCGCCCCCAUGCCACCCUAACCCUCACCCUAGUGGGCAGGGCUGUACCCACGCAGCCUACCAUGCUAGAAAGGGAGGUUCUCGGGAGGUACUGUGCUUUUUCAGACUUCAAUCACAGGGUCAUCUGUGUCCCCUGGUGCCCCUCAACCUUAGUUAAUAACAACCCAGCAGGCAUGGAACCCAUUGUGAACUCCCAUUUCACCAGAAAGUAACCCUUUGAGACAUGGUCCCUGCAGGUGCUGCACACCCACUGUUCCCAGCCUUCCUGGCCUUCCUGGAUUGAGGCAGAGCACCCCACUGCCCCCCAUCUGCCCUCUCCCAAGCAUCUGAUUUUUACUGGAAGGUAGAAUGUCACCACCUUUACUCACUGGAAGCCCCUUCUUUUAGCUGCCUGGGUUCCCUCAAUCCUGGAAUCUGAGGUACUCGCAGGGCCAGGGUGCCAUCUGCCAGCUGUGUGACCAGCAGGUCACUUCAUCUCUCUGCACCCCACCUUCCUCUACUGCAAAAUGGAGGUGAUAACACCAUCCCCAUCUGUGAUAACACCUCUCCUAUCUGUGACUGCCUAACCUCUCUGAGCCUUAGGCCUUUUAGCUAAAGACAUCUGGCAGUUUUGAACCCAAACUUCUGUAGAAUCUGCUUUUCUGACACUUUCAACUCCACAUCACCAUCAGGAGAGCCAUGCUUGAUCACUCUUUGGGACGCAUGCCCUAAGCCUUCACCUGUGCUGGUCUUUCUACCUGAGAUGUCUUGUCCCUCCCACCUCCUGUCUCUGUCUGGCCAAAAAUUUUUGCAAAUCUGCCUGCCUCAGAAUGAGGCCGUUCUCAGUUUCCCCAAGAGGAACCACUGUGAGCUGCCCACUUACCCCCAGUCCAUUAUGCAUUUGUUUAUCGUUUCUCCUGGUGUGUCAUAAGUAACCUUUUGAGCCUUUCUCAAGAGCAGGGACUCUUCUUACUAUCCGUCCCCAGAGCCUUUCUCAAGAGCAGGGAUUCUUCUUACUAUCCGUCCCUAGCAUCUGGCACACAGCCUGGAGCAUGGUAGAUAUUUUCAGCAAAUGUCUAUGGAAUAGCCGUUAUUCUGCUGCCAAGUGCUCUACCUCUGAGCUGUACUUGCAAGGAAUAGCCACUAGUCUGUAGGAGACCACUGCUGACCUUCCCUCUCAUACAGCACCCUUGCAAAUGGUGCCACAACUUCCCCGCGACAGGCAAGCAUCUUUUCUGCUGGAGAAUCCCACCUCUCCUGGGCCAGCCAGCAAGCCCCGCACCAGAGCCCAGGAUAGGGCCCCUGGCAACCCAGUUUUAGCAUGGAGGAGCCCAGCCAGGGAGUGCUAGAGGUCACUAAGUCCCUCAGAGGAGCUGCCUUGUCCCCACUCCCUGUCCUGGGUCACGGUUUCAGCUUUUCUUCCUCCAUGGAGGGGCAGGCCAACCUCCUCUUUUUAGCGGGUGGAGGGUCCUCAGUGCAGUGAGAACAGUGCCCCCCUGAACUAAGGGUAGGUCCAGGCUCCCUGAUAGGUAGGGGCCUUGUUCCUGAACUGGGUGGCCAGGAGCCCCGCCACCCGCAGCUGGUUAAUAGUUUGCAUUUCACCUGGCCUUGCCCUCGGGCUCUGCAUUAACUGGUUACAGCCCCUGCUGCAUGCUUUGUUGGGCCUGGUCUUUUUCUUGGUCUCACAGGACUUCCUGCUUGGAGCAGCAGAGGCUGCGUGGGUUUUGUUUUAGAGGGGCCUGCGAUAUCAUGAUGGCCCUUUAAGAAGCAGGAAGCCAUAUGAGUUAAAGACUCAUUCACCUCAACUGGCUACCCGUGGGUGACCCCUCUGGAAAUGUCCCCGGACCGAAGCAGGCUUUGGAUAGAGCCUGCUAGAAUGCCACCUGACCGGGAGCCCUUCUACAAACCUGCGUCUGCGUCCACAGCUCAGUGGCCGCUGACCAACUCCCUGGGAGCAGAGAACUGGAUUUUCUGAGUUGCCCAGAUCUGGCCAGCCUCCAUCAACAGACUUAGUGAAUCCUAAGAGCCAGAUCUUAAAGCAAGGGUCCAGACAUGCAGGCCACUCAACCCGCCACCCUCUCCAGAAACAAAAAGGAAAUGUGUGACCACACAGUAUUUAGCUUCCCCGCCUUCAGGAGUCUGCCCGCCAUCUGAGAGCAUUUCAAGGGUGAGCAGGACUUCCGUCUCACCCCAAUAGCUGCACUAGCCCCCAAAGUGAUGAUCCUGCUUGCAUUGUCCCCUCCAGUCACCCUGUGAGCCCUCAUCUAAUGUGGGUCAUUCCCUGAUUUUACUCCAGGGCUCUAUAACACCUUCCUUGGCUCCUGAUGCCUUUAAAGACCAGACCCCCUUGCCCAGCAUUCAAGGCCUCUGCAGCCUGUAUCCAACAGGGGCUCCUUCCUCUUCCCCACAGGAAAUGGUCACUCUGGCCUGAGCCUGCCUCCUGACUGCCUUCCUGUGACUUGCUCCCACUGUCCUUACACUCAAUCCAAGAUGCCCUCCUCUUAGAGACCAUGUCCUAGAGCCCUGGGCUGUCCUGCAAGCAAGUGCUGGUGACCUCAGAGUUCUCUUUCCCCCAGAACUCUGCCGCCCCCAUUUGCUAAUCUUACCUUUUUUUGCAUUGUUAAUUAUCUUAUACAGAGAUACCUUGCCUCCCUAAUGCUGGGAGGCCCUGUAGGAAUGAAUUCUAGAUUCUGCCCCUCUCCUUCCCAGCACAAUGCUUUCUGCAUCCAAAUAAUAAAAAA